AUGGAUCCCACGCGCAAACGUUGGCCCUGGAUCCCAGGCGCCAUCACUGUCGUCUCCGAGCUCGCCACCGACGGCGAGUUUCCUGAAUCGGUAAGCUGCCCGACACCCAUUCCACCGCCGCCGACCACCGGCUCGCCCCGCCCCCCUCCUCGAUCCACCGUGGCGGCGGCCUCCCUGCCUCUGUACAGCGCCUCCCUCCCCUGGAUCCAUGGCGGCAGCGGCCUCACUCCCCCUGGAACCACAACGGAGGCCUCCCUCCCCUUGAUCCACGGCGGAGGUAGCCUCCUCUGCUUCCAACGCGUCCAUUCUACUACAUGCCAUAAUCCCGUCCAACGUCGUCCACCUUCUGUCCAUUUUGAAGUUCAAUUUGUUUCUGCCCAACAUGUAGUAGCCUGUGCUGUGGCAACUUGA
rnacentral:rRNA from 1 species